CCCGGCCUGGAGUCCGCUGCACCCGGAGCGGGUGGGCGGCCCGCGUUCCUUAGCCGCGGUCCUGCGGACCCUCCCCUCACUCCCGCGGUCCCCUCGGGUCGCGAACCCCGCGUUCGGCGGACGUGGGGCGCGGACCGAGCGCCUUCCUCAGAGUCGAGGUCUCCCUCCCCUCCCUCGUGACCCGCCCUGGCCCACCCUGCGAGACGACGGGUCUUUACUUUGGGGUCACAUUUGAGGGAGAAAUAACCUUUCCUGAAGCUCAUUAGAAACAAGCUGUCACCAAUGCAUCAUCACCUAACUGGUCUCCCUUUGUUGUACAGGCUGCUUUCAAACUCCUGGCCUCAAGCAAUCUCCUGCCUCAUGCCUCCCAAAGUGCUGGGAUUACAGGCCUGAGCCACCAUCUUUUGCUUUCAAUGAUAAAAUACAGAAACACAGUGGAGGUGAAAGCAACUCCAUCUUGGAUGCUAAUCCGCCAAGAUAACUUCUGAUUAAUGCCUCUUCCAGGAAGAAGCCCUGGAUCGGGGGUUAUGGCGCAGCAAACCUUAUAUCCUCUGAUGACCACCCUGAGACUGUGGCUUCUGUUGACAGAAGAGAAGAGAAGGAGAAUCGAGUUUCUUUCCAAUAAAUAAGGGCAUUGGCUUGAUUGUACCUUCACCCAGAAACCUCUGAUUUCUCAUCCUUUAAAACCAUACCAACC